GACGAACGCUGGCGGCGUGCUUAACACAUGCAAGUCGAACGAAGUGGCGCACGGGUGAGUAACGCGUAAUCAACCUGCCCUUAAGAGGGGGACAACAGUUGGAAACGACUGCUAAUACCGCAUACUGAAGGAGGGGAUUGCGUCUGAUUAGCUAGUUGGCGGGGUAACGGCCAACCAAGACGAUGAUCAGUAGCCGGUCUGAGAGGAUGAACGGCGACAUUGGGACUGAGACACGGCCCAGACUACGACGGGAGGCAGCAGUGGGGACUCUUCCGCAAUGGACGAAAGUCUGACGGAGCAACGCCGCGUGAGUGAUGACGGCCUUCGGGUUGUAAAGCUCUGUUAAUCGGGACGCGGUACCGGAAUAGAAAGCCACGGCUAACUACGUGCCAGCAGCCGCGGUAAUUC
rnacentral:rRNA from 1 species